CAUCAGGGCAGGUGGAAGGAUCAAGAGCAGUGGUUCCCAACCUGUGGGCCGUGGCCCAUAAAAAUCCGUUGUACGAUGUGACCCAGGAAGAGCAAGAAAAAUAGUAGAGGUGAAUAACUGGAUCCACAGAUGGUGUCAGGAAGAACAAUCUGGUUUUCUGGACCAUGAUCUGCUUUUCCAGGAAGAUGGGAUACUGGCAUGGAAUCGGUGGCACCUCACGAAGUAGGAAGGAAUGAUUUUGCUCAAAGACUGGCCAUCCUGAUCAAGCAGACUUUAAAAUAGGUUGUGUGGGGGUGGGUGACAUUAUCCUUGGGAACAGCAGUUUAUCAAGGCCUGGAGUGAAUGGACAAAAGGCUAAAGAGAAGGUUGACAAACACAAGUACCAAGCAAUGAGGGGACAACAUUCUCAAAUAAACAGUUGAGGGGAAUGUCCUAUGGGCUUAGAUAUCCAGAGUAUGGGAAAUGCCCAGAGUAUGGGCAAUACCAGAGCUUAGCUGAGCAUCCACUCCUGUUUUUCCCAAAGCUACCUUGAUUUAAAUAGCAUUUUGUUGUUGAUGUUAUUAAAGCCUUUGGAUCAGA